AGUAAAGCCGGUAUUUGAAUGGGAAAGGUGAAAACCGGUAGGUAUACUGGUAUUUCAACUGAAAUUCAAAGAAGAAAAGAAGUGAAAACCAGCAGGAAUACCGGUAUGAAAAACCGGUAUUAAAACUACAAAUCAAAGAAAAUGGAAAACCGGUAUUUGAGUGUAGCAGUUGAAGGAAAGAAGCAGAAAACGGCGGCCGGAAAAACUCGCUGGAAAUAUGAAAUUAAACACGAAAACAGGAUGCUUCUGGAACCGACAAGAGGAAGCAAAUCGAGGAGGGCUAAGGAAGCGGGUCAGCCCAGAAACAAGCCAAAGCUUCUCGGGAGGCAGUAGAAGCGCCAACACUCAAGUGUUGGCCAGGGCAGUUGAAUGAGAAGCAUACGUGGUUGGAAUUUAGCAGGGUUAAACAACCCCAUUAGAACAACUUUCUCAAUGAGUUGUUCUCCAUCCACAAGGAGGUGGUCUGUCCACCUAGAUAUCUUGCUCCCACUGCCGCCCAGCAUUUCGGCAUUCAAGCCGACAUUAAUGGGUGGUUUAGGAUAGAGGCUUAGGUUGGGGAUAGGUUGGUUGUGAGUGAUAUGUGGCAGAAUGUAUUCAACAACCGGGAGCCUGUGUAUAGGGAGUUGUGUUUGGAGUUCUAUUCAACUCUAAAGGUGACGAAGGAGUUGAAUAAGGUGAAGGAUAUAUUUGAGGAGCGCUAUGUGGCCUUCUACUGUGGGGGUGUUGCAAGGAAGAUAUCUAUUGCCCAGUUUGGCUAUUAUACUGGGAUGUACACUCUGGACCAGUUGAAGAGCAGCGAGUUUCGGGGUUUGUUGAGAUAGGGCCUAUAUGUUAAGCAGGCCUUUGAUGGCGAGUCCAUUCCUCAGUACUGGACUCGGAUUACUGGUGGUGAAGCUUGAUCGUCUAGGGGUCAGGCAGUGUUUCUAAGAUCAGAAGUGUGCGAUUAAGGAUGCUUCAUCGCAUGAUUGUAACGUUUCUGGUACAGCGGUCCACUCACUGGGACAAGGCGUACCAGACUGAUCUUUGGUUGAUGAAGUUGUUUGCUGAGGGGGCGCCUAGGAGGUUUUCUUUGGCCCCCAUUGUUGUGAUGGAUAGGAUGUGGAACCACUCCGACUCGGAGCUAGUUUUGGGGCACUUUGUUACUAUGAUCUAUCGGCGCAUGGGCAUUUUUGCCAACUCGGCCUCAGUCAAAGUCUCCUGAAAGAUAGGGGGCGAAAGAUGUGCGUGUUUGAGGUAUUUCUAAGCCAUUUCCGGGUUCUUUUCUUGAUAAGAGUAUACCGGUGAUGUGUUGAUUCUAGAACUUGGCCUGGUGAUCGUGACGAGUACAUUGGAUGACGAAUUGGCAUUUUAGGUUUGACCUAUACUUUUUCCUUCCUUCUUUUCAAUUUUCUCUUGUAUAUCCAUACCCUUAUACAACCUUAUACACAUAUACAUACAAUUUUUCACUUUUCUUUGUACAUUUACACACUUACACAUCUUUGUAACUUAACAACUCCAUUGUAAAUUCCCAUUUAUACUUGUAAA